AUAGAUAAAAACGUUAGAAUAAAAUAAGAAUAAAAAAAAUGAAUUUCUACCAAUUACAAUAUACAAAAUAAGCUAUAAACAAAAAUAAACAUGAUAUAAACAGAUAGUGCAAAUAUUGCUAUAUGCGUAAAUCGGAUGAAUACAUAGGGGGGGGAUGUGUUGCACUACAGCCAUUCAGCUGAGAACACAAAUAACAUCAGUUAAAAUAAUCCCUUCACUAUUCUCGCCUGUUUCUAUUACAGCCCCAUGUCUUUAUAGCUGAAUGCAUCAAGCAAAGCAAGUAUUGUUUUCGUCUGCAAGUGGGAAAAAAAGGUUUUCCUCCACUUUCCCACUGCCUGUAAAGAAACGCUGCUUUUCUGGCCCUUUUGAACUGAAAAUCGUGAUUUUUUUUUUUUUCUCCCCCUGGUGUUCUCCGGACGCGCUCCUUUCUUUCUGCGGAACAAUGACAACACUGGAGCUCCCCUGCCGGUGCGCCACAGUUGGGGAUCCCCCGGAUUGUUUUGGACAUCUUUGGAUUUCAUCAAUCAAAAUGACUGCAGUUUUCCAUAAAAAUGCUGAAUUUGGGUGCUGGAACCGAGCGAGGCAAGAGCUUCCUGGAAGGCUGCGAUUGGCCGGCUGUCUGGGCCGUGAUAGCAGCCCCGGAGCCGAGGAUGAUUGAUGAUGGCGAGGGCAAGGCCGAGCGCUGGCAGCAUAAAGCCCCAUAGACGCCUCAAUAAAGAGCCUGGCUAGUGGAGAGCCUGGGCCCCGCUCAAUAGGGCCCCUCCGCCUCCGAGGACCCACGGCUAGAGGAGUGCAUGGAGAGAGAGGGAGAGAGAGAGAGAGAGAGAGGGAGAGGAAGAGAGGGAGAAGGAGAGGUGCUCUGUUGUUGGAUAAUCCGUUUAGCUAUCGAGCCAGCAGCCGUCUGAGGCUGGAUAAGUGCAGCGACGGAUGUGUGUGGGGUGAAAAUAGCAGGGGUUGGCUGGUGGAGAGCUGGAGGGGGGGGAUGCAGGGACGAAGGAUGUGGAGAGAGAAAGAGAGAGGGGGAGAUGGAUCAUCCAGUCUCAGGAUGCAUAAUGGGGGGAAAAGGGAAGCGGAUGAACAAAACUGGAAAUCUGCAGGCUGCUUUUCACACGCACUAGAAAUGAUCCCAAAAAGUUGACCACAAGCUGUCUGAUGCCCGUCUGCUGCUGCUACUCUGGUGGCCACCAUUCAGCCUACAGAUGCAUAACUGUGGUGACCUUUGCUUCGGCAGAUCAAUGAGACCCUGCUAGGUUGGAUGCCAUCGGUGCAGCGUCCACUGCUGUGGCCCCAGACCGCAUGCAGCCCUGUUGUAACCCCACCAGCGCACAGCAGCUCUGAAAAGCACAAUUAGGCAGUAAUCUGCUCCUACCAAGCCAGCUUUCAGUGACUCCAGCGUGGCUACACGGUGUCCUGCAGACCCUCCUGGCUGGAGUUGGCAGGAUGAAGGUCUGAGACUGAUGGCCUGGUGGUCGUCGUCACUCUGCAGGGUUCAUAGAGAUCAAAGAUGAGAAGUUAUUGUCAAGACCCGGCAUGUGUUGCACAAAACAAAGCUGAAUCAAAGUUCCCAAAUGCACUAAAAGUCUGAAUUGUUGUUGUUUAUUAAAACUAAAAUUUAAAAUGUUAUCUCAGAAA